UAGGGAAUAUUGCGCAAUGCCCGAAAGGGUGACGCAGCGACGCCGCGUGAGGGAUGAAGGCCUUCGGGUUGUAAACCUCUGUCACUUGGGAAGAACACGAUCUGGGUGAACAAUCCAGGUUGUUGACGUUACCGAGAGAGGAAGCACCGGCUAACUCUGUGCCAGCAGCUGCGGUAAUACAGAGGGUGCAAACGUUGCUCGGAUUCACUGGGCGUAAAGGGCACGUAGGCGGCCCGGUAAAUCAGUUGUGGAAGCCCAUGGCUCACCCAUGGAAUUGCAACUGAAAAUGCCGGUCUUGAGCGCAGGAGGGGUGAGGGGAACUCUAGGUGGAGCGGUGAAAUGCGUAGAUAUCUAGAGGAACGCCGGAGGCGAAAGCGUCUCACUGGCCUGCUGCUGACGCUGAGGUGCGAAAGCCAGGGGAGCAAACGGGAUUAGAUACCCCUGUAGUCC
rnacentral:rRNA from 1 species